UACGUAGGGGGGCAAGCGUUUGUCCGGAAUUAUUGGGCGUAAAGCGCGUGUAGGCGGCUUUGCAAGUCGGGUGUGAAAGCCCUCAGCUCAACUGAGGAAGUGCGCCCGAAACUGCAGAGCUUGAGUGCCGGAGAGGGUGGCGGAAUUCCCCAAGUAGAGGUGAAAUUCGUAGAUAUGGGGAGGAACACCGGUGGCGAAGGCGGCCACCUGGACGGUAACUGACGCUGAGA
rnacentral:rRNA from 1 species